AGAGAAAAGGACCAUAAGGAAACAGGGAAUGUUACGAACGAGCGGUGACAGGAAUGUGGAGGUCAGGGAAAGUGGGAGGACAGAGUAAUAAAGGAACGUGGGCAAACAGUAGGAUGAGGGGGCAGAGGGACUUGGGGAAUGAGGAAGGGAGGAAGAGAACAUAGGGACGCGUAAAGGAUAAGGAUAUGAGAGAUGAGAUGGCAAAAUGUUCACCGGAUUAGGGGCUGAAAAUAAUGAUUAAAUAGUUGUUCAUUAAAUCAUAAAGGCUGCUUUAGAGUUAGUCAUGCAUUCAAAUCCUGCCUCUGCCAGUUAUUUGCAGUGUAAUUCAAGGCAUGGAACAUCAGCUUCCCUAUCUUUAAAAUAGGAAUAAUAAUAGCUUCAGAGAUUAAAUGAGUUAAUACAUGUUAAAUGCUUAAAAUAAUGCUUGAUACAUAGAAAAUACUCAAAUGUAAGUAGUAUUACUACUGUCUCCGUAGGGGUUGUUAGGAUGGAAUGGACUAAUGUAUAUCAACGGUUUCUAAAACAACUUCAAAAAUGGUGGCUGUAGGAGGGGAAGAUGUAGGAAGCAGGGCUGAGAAGUAAGCAAGUGAUUGGUAUGGGAAGGGUAAUAGGGAAAGUAUAAAACAGGUAGAGAAAAAGUUAAUGUUCAUUCUAUUUCCGUUGCACCCCUGGCCCAGCAUUGUAGAAAGGGCGCUAGAACAGAAGCUGAAACUUUCAGUCCUACUGUGAGUUGGAUUAAAGUCUCUGUGGUCUGGAAGUGUCUGAAGGGGAAAAUCACUUUUGGCAUUAAUCCAUUGUCCACACAAAAACAGUAUGAAAGAGGAAAUGGGGAAGGAACUGUUAAUUGUGUGAAAACAUUAGACACAUAUACUGUUGGAUGCAGUGGUGUUGGACAGAGGGCAAACUUUUAGUAAUCUUUCCCUGUCCUCUCAAAUUCCCAAGCAGGGCAGGAAGGGAGGGUAGAGGGAUAGAACUGUGAUAAGAGAACCAGAACUGGGUGAAGGAGAAAUGCUUCUGCUGGUAAUUUUCUGUUACAGAGGACAAAAGAAUGCCAUAGGAAGGAUACAUAAAAGAAUUUUUCUGAUAGAGACUGAAUCCCAAUCACCUCGUGUAUGUGGUAUAAAAAUAUGCAAAGAUUAUUUCUGAAAAACUUAAGACAAUGAGUCUUU